rnacentral:tRNA from 1 species
GGGGUUGUAGCUCAGUGGUAGAGUACUUGCCUAGCAUGUGUGAGGCCCUGGGUUCAAUCCCCAGCACCACA